UGGGGAAUUUUCCACAAUGGGCGAAAGCCUGAUGCAGCAACGCCGUGUGAGCGACGAAGGCCCUAGGGUCGUAAAGCUCUGUUGUUAGGGACGAAGGGCGAAGGGUUAAUAGCCCCUAGCCUGACGGUACCUUUCGAGGAAGCCCCGGCUAACUACGUGCCAGCAGCCGCGGUAAUACGUAGGGGGCGAGCGUUGUCCGGAAUUAUUGGGCGUAAAGAGCGUGUAGGCGGCUUGGUAAGUCUGCUGUGAAACCUUGGGGCUCAACCCCAAGCGUGCAGUGGAUACUGUCAAGCUAGAGGAUGGUAGAGGCCAGUGGAAUUCCCGGUGUAGCGGUGAAAUGCGCAGAUAUCGGGAGGAACACCAGUAGCGAAGGCGGCUCGCUGGGCCAUUCCUGACGCUGAGACGCGAAAGCGUGGGGAGCAAACAGGAUUAGAUACCCGUGUAGUCC
rnacentral:rRNA from 1 species